rnacentral:rRNA from 1 species
AUGCGCCGGCCAUUUGUGUUUCUUCCAAAAUGGAUGGUAGUGGCAAUGAGUUCAACAACAGUUGUCCCCCUCCUCAUCUCAUUCUUGUUCAUCUCCACGCUACCUCCCUGUAGACCACUGUCAUUCAGCUACAACUUCUCCGACCCUCGCACUUUCGAUGGUUCCAACAUCAUAACCGCUGGAACUGCAACUCUUGCACAAAAAGAUGCUAGCCUGAUAGAGCUCACCCAGAAUCCCGACCCUACAGUGGAAGGAGUAUCCAAUGCAAUGGGCCGGGCCACAUAUAGCAAGCCAGUGCUCCUCUGGGAAAAGGCCACCAUCGAGGUGACAAGUUUCACGACGCGUUUCUCCUUCGCCAUCAAGCAGUUACCCGGACAUUCUGGUGUCACAUACAAACCCAGCGAUGGGAUCGCCUUCUUCCUAUCCUCCUACCCGCAAGAAUUGCCACCCUACCAUGGCGGCAAGUACCUCGGUCUUGUUGACGGAAGCACCAAUGCCACUCCGGCUGUCGUAGCGGUGGAAUUCGACACGUUCCAAAAUGAUUGGGACCCGUACACCGAUCACACCGGGAUCGACGUCAACUCCAUCAACUCGACCGCGGUGGAGGUGCUGCCCAUGGGCACACUCACGGAUCGUAGCGAGCCCAUGAUUGUGCUGGUGAGCUACAAUAGCAGCAUGAAACUUCUCGCCGUUGCCCUACAACUGGAGCGCACUGAUGGCGGCAUGAGGUACGAGCUCAACAGCACCGUUGACCUGAAGAGCGUGCUCCCCCCAGAGGUGGCCAUCGGGUUCUCUGCUGCUAGCGGGUAUUCCACGGAGCUGCACCGUGUGCUCGCAUGGUCUUUCAACUCCACAUCGAUGGAGAUGAAUUUGGUGCCUGCGGGAACACGGCCGAUGCCCAAUAAGGUCCCUCAUUUUCCCUCAAAACGUAUGAUCUGGCUGGUUGCCAGGGCAGCUGGCGCUGCCAUGCUGAUAUCAGUUGCCUUUGUGGGCGUGUUGAUCCGGUGGCUUCUAACGAUGAGGAGGCACCGGUGGAUGAACGAGGAGCAGGCAAUAGCGGACUUGGAAGUUUGCAGCAUGGACGGCGAGUUCAAGUUCGAAAAUGGCGCCGGCCCAAGGCGAUUUCGCUAUGGCGAACUGGCCGCUGCGACCAACAACUUCUUCGAGGAUGGAAAGCUUGGAGAAGGUGUCUUCGGGUCGGUGUACAGCGGGUCCUUGAGCGACCUGGAUAUCGACGUCGGCCGGUCACCGUCAAGAGGAUAUCCAAGAGCUCCCGGCAGGGGAGGAAGGAGUGUGUCUCUGAGGUACGAGAUCGCGCUGGGGGUUGGCUCGGCACUGCUCUACCUACAUGUAGAGUGCAAGAAAUGCGUGGUGCACAGGGACGUGCAGCCCAGCAACGUCAUGCCGGACGCGUCCUUGGGCGCCAAGCUCGGCAACUUCGGGCAUGCGAAGCUCCUCGACCACGGGAUCAGCUUGCCGACCGUGGUUCUGGCAGGAACCAUGGGGUACAUGGACCCAGAGUACACGGCCUCUGGCAGAGCAAGCACCGCAUCUGACGUCCACAGCUUCGGCAUCGUGUUGCUGGAGAUGUGCUGCGGCAGGAGACCCCGGGACGACUCCGUCAAGCCCUCCCUCCUGGAGUGGGUCUGGAACCUCUAUCUCUAUGGCCGGGGCGCAGCUCUGGAGGCUGCUGACAAGCGGCUGGACGGCGACUUGGACCAAGCGCAGAUGCAACGCAUGCUGGUCGUGGGUCUCUGGUGCGCGCACCCGCACCGCGGUGUGCGGCCUUCCAUCAAGCAAGCGCUAGGUGUGCUUCAAUUUGAGGCUCCAUUGCCCGAUGUUCCUCCAAAGAUGCCCGUGCCGACAUUCUCCACGAGCGUUGCAGGCCCUGAUGCUGAUGCUGAUGGUUUUUUGGGCGGUGCCGGAGUUUAUUCUUCUUCUUCCACGGGGCGGUGA